rnacentral:rRNA from 1 species
GUGAGGAAUUUUGCGCAAUGGGGGAAACCCUGACGCAGCAACGCCGCGUGAGUGAUGAAGGCCUUCGGGUCGUAAAGCUCUGUCAAGUGGGAAGAACCUGUGAACGGCCAACACCCGUUUACACUGACGGUACCACUGAAGGAAGCACCGGCUAACUCCGUGCCAGCAGCCGCGGUAAUACGGGGGGUGCAAGCGUUACUCGGAAUCAUUGGGCGUAAAGGGCGCGUAGGCGGCCCGGUAAGUCAGGUGUGAAAGCCCGGGGCUCAACCCCGGAAGUGCAUUUGAUACUGCCAGGCUUGAGUAUGGGAGAGGGAAGUGGAAUUCCUGGUGUAGAGGUGAAAUUCGUAGAUAUCAGGAGGAACACCGGUGGCGAAGGCGACUUCCUGGACCAAUACUGACGCUGAGGCGCGAAGGCGUGGGGAGCAAACAGGAUUAGAUACCCCGGUAGUCC